AUGCCCUAGUAACGGCGAGUGAAGCGGCAACAGCUCAAAUUUGAAAUCUGGCGUCUUCGGCGUCCGAGUUGUAAUUUGCAGAGGGCGCUUUGGCAUUGGCAGCGGUCCAAGUUCCUUGGAACAGGACGUCACAGAGGGUGAGAAUCCCGUACGUGGUCGCUAGCCUUUACCGUGUAAAGCCCCUUCGACGAGUCGAGUUGUUUGGGAAUGCAGCUCUAAAUGGGAGGUAAAUUUCUUCUAAAGCUAAAUACUGGCCAGAGACCGAUAGCGCACAAGUAGAGUGAUCGAAAGAUGAAAAGCACUUUGGAAAGAGAGUUAAAAAGCACGUGAAAUUGUUGAAAGGGAAGCGCUUGCAGCCAGACUUGCCUGUAGUUGCUCAUCCGGGUUUCUACCCGGUGCACUCUUCUAUGGGCAGGCCAGCAUCAGUUUGGGCGGUUGGAUAAAGGUCUCUGUCAUGUACCUCUCUUCGGGGAGAACUUAUAGGGGAGACGUCAUGCAACCAGCCUGGACUGAGGUCCGCGCAUCUGCUAGGAUGCUGGCGUAAUGGCUGUAAGCGGCCCGUCUUGAAACACGGACCAAGGAGUCUAACAUCUAUGCGAGUGUUUGGGUGUCAAGCCCGAGCGCGUAAUGAAAGUGAACGGAGGUGGGAACCUUUCGGGGUGCACCAUCGACCGAUCCUGAUGUCUUCGGAUGGAUUUGAGUAAGAGCAUAGCUGUUGGGACCCGAAAGAUGGUGAACUAUGCUUGAAUAGGGUGAAGCCAGAGGAAACUCUGGUGGAGGCUCGCAGCGGUUCUGACGUGCAAAUC
rnacentral:rRNA from 1 species